UGUAGCUCUGUCUCUCUCCUUCCUCUUUUGUCUGAGGCUUGAAUCAGAAGGCCUGUGAUACCUAUUACAAGCCUCAGACAUAAGUGCCACUGAGUAGCUCUGUAUUAAAAAAGCAGCUUGAGAAACGUAUGUAUUUUAUCGAGGGCGAUAUUCUCAAGUUAAUCAGCGGUGUAUCUGUCUGAUAAUUCUUGCUUGGAACCUUGUACAAAAGUGGAAGGAGAGGGCAUAGCUAACUGGC